CCAUCUCUUUCUGUACUGGAGGGGCACUAGGUGAUAAAUUCAACUCUUAGCGAAGCCCAUUGGCCAAACACCAAGUACAUGUUGUCCCAGAGCUUUUAUAGUGUUUAUUGUUCCGUUUUCAGUGACGUGUACAGUUUCUGAUACCUGCCCUUAAUCACUCGAGAGUUACAUUAUCAUCCGUCACCUCUACACUUCAGGCUGGCUGAUUGCCUGAGCGUCCUUUAAGUCUAUUCACACAAAGCAUCCAAGACCCUAAAUCAUCCGUAGGCCUACGUUUCCCGCUCUUCUGGCACAUGGACAGGACUCCCAAACAGUUAACAUCCAGGACGAUUGACAAUGACGCGACAAGUGACACAAGAGACACACAACUUAAAUAAACUAGGGAGGUGCAGGUGAUUGGACACAGGUGGAAACUAUCAGACGAUCACAGGGGAUGACAGGACAAGGCAGGAAGUGAAGUUACCCGGUUACUCUAGAAGCAACCAACAUCUGCCUCAAGUCUUCGAGAAUAAACAAUCGUCCACGUCCACACUGCAUUAACUUCCCAGGAGACCCCUGCCAACCUGUCAGUGUGUUUACAUGAUGGUAUAAUUCGAAUCUUCGAGUCGGCCUAUGCCAUCUUUCGGGGGAAGGUGCUAUUAUCCCAAUACGUGAAUAAAUCAAAUCAUUGGCCGAAAGCAUGUCAUAUCCAAUACGAUAGGUGGCGCUGUUUUCAUUACAACUAGUUGUGAUACAGCCAUUUCCGCUUGACCUCUGCACCACUACCAACAACAACAACAUCAACAUUACACGAAAGAUGGCGAACGGAGAGCAAGGUGAAGCUACAUCCCUCUACUAUUUUUGCAUGAUGUUAAUAGGAGUACAGCGAAUGCGAAUGGCGCUAUUGGCUGAUUUGAUAACGGAGAGAAGACGCCGUCGCCGAAGGUACAUGGAGAAUUUAAUUCUGACCAACAAUAUAUUGUUGAACUCUUCCAUUGUACCGCAAAGGUCUCGAAGAGCACUCUGGAUGAAGAGCAGAAACAAAGGCUUCUGGGAGAGAGAUGUUUCGACCGUAUUUGAUGACAAAGACUGGAAAGCGAAGUUUCGCAUGACUUGAGGAUCUUUCCACAAGUUGUGUGGAAUUAUGGAAGGAGUCAUGAAGCACGCGGAGGUGACUGUUCGAGCACCAAUACCGCUGUCCUCCAAGGCGUAGUGGACGACAUGUGUCGCUUCUGGAGCAUCAACUGUAAGAUGCCUGGGUGUGCUCAUGACGCUAACGUGCUGAGGCAAUCGACGUUCAGCCAGGCACACCUGUUACCAAAAGAACCAAGAUAAAUCGAUGACGUCUCAAUCGGUAACUUCCUGUUGGGAGAUCCAGCGUAUCCUCUCAUGGACUGGAUCGUGAAAGGCUACCCCCAUUCCCCAGAGCAAGAGUCCUUCAAGGUCUACUUAAGCUCUACAAGGACCACGGUGGAGAUUGCGUUUGGGAGACUGAAGUCACGCUGGAGAGUUUUGAUGAAGCGUAGUGACUUCUACUUUACAUUCACCCCUAAAGUGAUUGCUACCAGUUGUGCAUUGCACAAUUUCUGUGAGAAUGAGAAGGAAGUUGUGAAUCCCAACUGGUCAGUGGAAGCGGCUACACAGCCAGGUGGUCGUGCCAACAAUCACGCAGACGUGAGUGCAAACUUCCCCCCGCGCAGACCAUACCUUUAGACGUCUUCAUUACAUAAUUGCCAG
ensembl:lncRNA